rnacentral:rRNA from 1 species
AUGUCUGACACCGCAAAGGCGAAGUCGCCGUCUGUGCAGGAGGAUGAGGAGACUGGGGAUUCCACUGAGGACGAGGACUGGAAGAAGGGCGCUGCUCCGGAGGAUGAUUCUGAGGAGGAAGUGGAGUUGGAUGACGAAGAGGAAGAGGUUGUUGCGGUCAGUUCGCGAAAGGGGAAAUCAAGGAACUCCUUGUCCACGUCAGCUUCAGUGUCCACACUGCGGUCAACGUCUGGUCUUGGCUCAGCAUCGUCAGGGUCAACGUUGUCAAAGAAGAGGAAACAAGUGGAUGUGGGUGCAUUGGAUUGUGCUAAGAAGUUCAGCUUUCAACUAGCUAACACCCCUGAAAAGGCUGAAAUGAAGGUGCCACCGAGCUGUGAUAGGAGAGAGAGAAUUUUAGAGAAUGCUCACCUUGCUCUUACUGGAGACCUGUCUGAGCGCUUUGGAAGUCGGCAGACGGAGAAGUUCACAUUCCUUGGGCAGGGGCGCAAAGAUGCAAAAGGGAGACGACCUGGAGACCCAGCCUAUGAUCCAAGAACUCUCUUCUUGCCUUCCCAGUUCUUGAAGAACUUGACAGGUGGACAGAGGCAAUGGUGGGAAUUUAAAUCCCAGCACAUGGAUAAGGUCCUGUUCUUCAAGAUGGGCAAAUUCUACGAAUUGUAUGAGAUGGAUGCUCAUGUUGGGGCCAAGGAGCUUGAUCUUCAAUACAUGAAGGGUGACCAACCUCACUGUGGCUUCCCAGAGAAGAAUUUAGCAGUGAAUUUGGAGAAACUAGCUCAGAAGGGUUAUCGCGUUCUGGUUGUAGAGCAGACCGAGACACCGGACCAGCUUGAACUUCGCCGUAGAGAGACGGGUACAAAAGACAAGGUUGUGAGGCGUGAAAUAUGUGCAAUGGUCACAAAAGGAACACUGACAGAAGGAGAAUCACUUCUGGCGAAUCCAGAUCCGUCAUACAUCUUGUCCGUGGCUGAAAGUUAUCCAUGUAGUUCAACAAACAGUCAAGAUGGUCAUACAAUUGGUGUUUGUAUAAUUGAUGUUUCUACAAGCAAAUUCAUCAUUGGACAGUUCCAAGAUGACCCUGAACGUCAUGUGCUAUGUUCCAUUUUGUCUGAAAUACGACCUGUGGAAAUCAUAAAGCCAGCUAAGAUGCUGAGUGCAGAAACUGAGAGGGCACUGAAAAAUAAUACAAGAGACCCUUUGAUAAAUGGUUUGCUUCCAUCUACGGAAUUUUGGGAUGCAGAGAAAACUAUUCAUGCCAUCGAGCAAUACUACAGCUCAUCAGAUAAUCUCACUGCAUCACGAAACACUGUUGGAGUACAAAACAAUGUGGGCUGUCUGCCUGACCUAUUAAGUGAGCUAAUUGAAGCUGGUGAUCGAGUGUAUGCGCUUUCUGCUCUUGGAGGUUCUUUGUUUUACUUAAAGCAAGUCCUUCUGGAUGACAAAUUGCUUCCAUGUGCUGAAUUUGAGCCCCUGACAUGCUCGGGGCUCAUCAACAAUAUGCGGAAGCAUAUGAUACUCGAUGCGGCCGCACUUGAAAAUUUGGAGAUCCUAGAGAAUGCAACUGGUGGUCUCUCAGGGACCUUGUAUGAACAAUUGAAUCAUUGUGUUACUGGAUUUGGGAAAAGGAUGCUCAAACGGUGGAUUGUAAGGCCUUUGUACGAUUGCAAAGCAAUACAACAGCGUCAAGGUGCCAUUGCUAUUUUCAAGGGAGUUGGGCAUGAAUGUGCUAUGCAGUUCCGUAAAGAUUUAUGUAGGCUUCCAGACAUGGAGCGUCUGCUUGCACACCUUUUCUCUAGAUGUGGUGAAAAUGGGAGAUCUAAGUCAGUUGUUCUAUAUGAAGACACAGCAAAGAGACUGCUCAAGCAGUUCACUGCCGCCCUUCGUGGUUGCCAGCAAAUGUUUCAGGCAUGUUCUUCUAUUAGGGUGUUGACAGGCACAGAGGGGUCUUCUCUACUAAAUGAUUUGCUUUCACCAGGCAAAGGGUUACCAGAUGUGUCAUCUAUUUUAGAUUACUUCAGGGAUGCAUUUGAUUGGUCAGAAGCUGAUCAUAAUGGUCGGAUCAUACCUCUUGAAGGUUGUGAUCCUGAAUAUGAUGCCACUUCCUGUGCCAUAGAGGAGAUCGAAUCCAGUCUGCAGGAGUACCUGAAGGAGCAAAGAAAGCUACUGAAGGAUUCAUCGGUUAAGUAUGUAAAUGUUGGAAAGGAUACUUACCUUAUUGAAGUGUCUGAGAGCCUGAGGGGUUCUGUUCCUAAUGACUAUGAGUUGCAGUCUACAAAAAAGGGUGUCUGUCGGUACUGGACACCAGAAGUAAAACAACUAAUAUCAGAACUUUCUAAGGUUGCAACAGAUAAAGAAUCAAUAUUGAAAGGCAUUCUUCAGAAACUGAUUCAUCUCUUUAUUGAGCAUCACAGCAAGUGGAGACAGUUGGUGUCUGUAGCUGCUGAGAUUGAUGUUUUGGUUAGUCUUUCUAUUGCGGGUGAUUAUUUUGAGGGACCAACAUGCUGUCCAACUAUCAGAGAAUUGUGUGGUCCAGAUGAUACUCCUACUUUCCAUGCAAGAAAUCUUGGGCAUCCCAUUAUUCGAAGUGAUUCGUUAGGCAAGGGUUCAUUUGUACCAAAUAACAUUAACAUGGGUGGGCCAGGAAAUGCCAGCUUUAUUGUUCUUACUGGUCCAAAUAUGGGUGGUAAAUCAACUCUCCUGCGUCAAGUUUGUCUUACCAUAAUAUUGGCACAGAUUGGAGCAGAUGUUCCGGCGGAAAACCUUGAGCUUUCUCUUGUUGACCGUAUCUUUGUUCGCAUGGGAGCAAGGGAUCAUAUUAUGGCUGGAAAAAGUACAUUCUUGGUGGAGCUCAUGGAGACUGCUUCCGUGCUUUCGUCAGCUACCAAGAAUUCUCUUGUGGCUUUAGAUGAGCUUGGGCGGGGCACAUCGACUUCUGAUGGACAAGCUAUUGCGGCAUCUGUUCUAGAUUAUCUAGUUCAGCGUGUGCAGUGUCUAGGCUUGUUUUCUACCCACUACCAUAAGUUAGCAGUGGAACAUGAGGAUGACAAGGUAUCACUUUGCCAUAUGGCAUGCCAAGUAGGCACUGGAGAAGGAGGUUUGGAAGAGGUGACUUUCCUUUACAGAUUAACAGCUGGUUCAUGUCCCAAAAGCUAUGGCGUGAAUGUUGCUCGAUUAGCAGGAAUACCUGCGUCAGUGCUUCAAAGGGCUAAUGAGAAGUCAAUUGACUUUGAGGCUAGUUAUGGGAAACGCUGCUGUGCAACUAAAGAUAAGGCGAUCUGUACACAGGAGGAUAACUUUACUACCAUUAAGGAUUUGUUCCGUGUUGUGAAGGCAGGGAAUCAUCAAGGAGAUCAGGCAACAAGCUUAAGCAGGAUUCGUGAAGUACAGAUGCGUGCCAGGGCGCAAGCUAUGGAAGCAUAG